UACGUAGGUUGCAAGCGUUAUCCGGAAUUAUUGGGCGUAAAGAGCGCGCAGGUGGUUAAUUAAGUCUGAUGUGAAAGCCCACGGCUUAACCGUGGAGGGUCAUUGGAAACUGGUUGACUUGAGUGCAGAAGAGGGAAGUGGAAUUCCAUGUGUAGCGGUGAAAUGCGUAGAGAUAUGGAGGAACACCAGUGGCGAAGGCGGCUUCCUGGUCUGCAACUGACACUGAGGCGCGAAAGCGCGGGGAGCAAACAGG
rnacentral:rRNA from 1 species